GCCUAGUCGUCCAAUGGUUCAGACAUAAUGUUUUCGUCAUUACUAUGUAGGUUCAAAUCCUGCCUAGGCUAG
rnacentral:tRNA from 1 species